UUAAGUGGAAAAAUAUAAACAUCCUGCUGCUCGAAACAUUACUUCCGGAAUGGCCAAGUCAGUAAAGAAAUUCCAAGAACUUAGUAGUUCGUAGUUCAAUCGUUGUACGUGUUAUGUGAGCAGUCUGAGUAAGCGGUUGUGAAACCAAGGAGCGCCGUCCACUAUCAGUCUCUUCGGGAAAGAACUGGGACAGUGCUAUAAAUGGGCCACGACCGCUUUUUCUUACACCUGCUAACGUUAGUUCCAAGCAUAUGGACUAAAGGCAGCGGAUGUCUUGGUGGGAGGUCUUAGAAAUAAGCAGCCAACCAGCGACAAGGGACAUGCAAUUAUAGCGGACUUACGAGAUACGUGCCAGUUCUCGCGGCUGUAAAAAUAAAAAUGCUUUCUACUCUGUGACGCCACAUGGACUAGUAGGUAGAUCCCAUCAUUUCACAGGAAUAAAUUGUCUUCAACUUCAUCCAUGCAAAUGGAGUAAGUACGUUUCUCCAAAACAUUGGUAAUUACCUACGAGUCCACACGACGUCACAACCCAGUGCAGCAUCGACUCUGAAUAUUUGCCUUGCAGAUUAUGCUAACAAAUAUAAGCCUAGUGGUAAGAUACCCGAAGGUUUAACGCCCCUAACAAUAAAGCUCGCCUUUGGAAAUUAUCCUGUGUCUAGUCUACUGUUUAAUAAAGUGUAUACCUAGAAACUAAUUCUAAUUCUAAUUCUGUAGCCUUUUUUGUCUUUCAAGAUGUCUCCUCUGCAUUUGUUUUGUAACAAAAAAUGUCAACAAUAAAGUUUCGUUAAUUGGUAUUUUAUGGACAGAGA